AAGUACAAAGGUGGUUUGGGCUUCCGUGAGAUGAAACUUUUCAACCUAGCGUUGCUAGCAUGUCAAGCAUGGAGGAUUUGAUAAGAUCUGAGUUCAGUAAGCUCCCGAGUUUUAAAAGCAGUAUAAUAUCUACAUAGAGAUUUCCUAACUGCUGAACUAGGGAAUAAGCCCUCUCAAGUGUGGCGUGUUGUGUGCAAGGGGAAGGAUGUUUUGAAUCUUGGGUUGAUCAAGAGGAUAGGAAAUGGCAGGGAUACCAAUGUUUGGACUCAUAACUGGCUACCGAGAAAUUUUAAACUGAAGCCGGUCUGUGCCUUAUCGCCACACACUCCAGCCAAGGUUUCGAGAUCUUAUUAUUUCAGCUAUGCGGGAGUGGAGUCAAGCAACACUGAGCAUUUACUUCCUACGGACUCAGAAAUUAUCCGUCAAAUACUGUUAAGCCACUCAAGUUGUGAGGACCGAUGGGCAUGA
rnacentral:rRNA from 1 species